UGGCGGCGCGCCUAACACAUGCAAGUCGAACGAGCGAGAGGAGGUUUACUUUCUCAAGCGAGUGGCGAACGGGUGAGUAACGCGUGAGGAACCUGCCUCAAAGAGGGGGACAACAGUUGGAAACGACUGCUAAUACCGCAUAAGCCCACGGCUCGGCAUCGAGCAGAGGGAAAAGGAGCAAUCCGCUUUGAGAUGGCCUCGCGUCCGAUUAGCUAGUUGGUGAGGUAAUGGCCCACCAAGGCGACGAUCGGUAGCCGGACUGAGAGGUUGAACGGCCACAUUGGGACUGAGACACGGCCCAGACUCCUACGGGAGGCAGCAGUGGGGAAUAUUGCACAAUGGGGGAAACCCUGAUGCAGCGACGCCGCGUGGAGGAAGAAGGUCUUCGGAUUGUAAACUCCUGUUGUUGAGGAAGAUAAUGACGGUACUCAACAAGGAAGUGACGGCUAACUACGUGCCAGCAGCCGCGGUAAAACGUAGGUCACAAGCGUUGUCCGGAAUUACUGGGUGUAAAGGGAGCGCAGGCGGGAAGACAAGUUGGAAGUGAAAUCCAUGGGCUCAACCCAUGAACUGCUUUCAAAACUGUUUUUCUUGAGUAGUGCAGAGGUAGGCGGAAUUCCCGGUGUAGCGGUGGAAUGCGUAGAUAUCGGGAGGAACACCAGUGGCGAAGGCGGCCUACUGGGCACCAACUGACGCUGAGGCUCGAAAGUGUGGGUAGCAAACAGGGUUAUAUACCCUGGUAGUCCACACUGUAAACG
rnacentral:rRNA from 1 species